rnacentral:lncRNA from 1 species
UUGUUUCACCAAAUGUGAAGUUUAGGUUGAAAUAAAUAACUGAGUGAACUAGAAUUCAGAUAAAAUUACUUUUAUUCUUCUAUUUGUUUAUAUAGCUGUUGAAUUGAAGUUUUUUCAGUUCUGUUGUUUAUUUAGCAGAAUGUGAAUGAUGUAAAAGUUUAAGGUAUAAAAAAUAAGUUAAUAUUUUAUUAUUAUGAGGUAUUUUUUAAUAUAUUCGUCGGAACUUCAAAAAUAUCUAGCAUAUCUCUCGUCGACCAAAAUACUUUUAUUGAUUUUGAAAAAUUCCUUCAAAAAUUUCCGAACUUCUAAAGCAGAGUGAAUUUAAAAAAUUUUAAAUAGUAGCCGGGAUUAAAAAGUAAAAGCCUCUGUUGUUAUUAUUAUUAUCAUUAGGGUGUGUUUGGUUCCACGUAAAACUGUGGAAAAAAAAUUUUCGGUGGAAAAAAAAUUUUCGGUGGGAAAAAAGUUUUACGUUGUUUGUGUUUGGUUUGUAGGAAAAGAAAAAUAGUUUUCCGUGACGGUUGUUUGGUUGAAAGGAAAAGAAAAGAAAUAAAAAACUAUUUAAUAUAUUUUUUAUUAUAUAUAUUAAUAUUAUUAAUAUAUAAUAAUUAUUAUUAUGUUAUAUAUGAAAAAUUAUUAUAUAUAUAUAUUUCCUAUUAUAUACAUUAUAUAUUAUUAAUAUAUAAUAAUUAUCAUAAUACAUUUAAUUAUUAUAAUUUAUAUUUAUAAACAAGAUAUAUUUAANA